CUGGCGGUAGGCCUAACACAUGCAAGUCGAACGGCAGCACAGUAAGAGCUUGCUCUUACGGGUGGCGAGUGGCGGACGGGUGAGGAAUACAUCGGAAUCUACUUUUUCGUGGGGGAUAACGUAGGGAAACUUACGCUAAUACCGCAUACGACCUACGGGUGAAAGCAGGGGAUCUUCGGACCUUGCGCGAUUGAAUGAGCCGAUGUCGGAUUAGCUAGUUGGCGGGGUAAAGGCCCACCAAGGCGACGAUCCGUAGCUGGUCUGAGAGGAUGAUCAGCCACACUGGAACUGAGACACGGUCCAGACUCCUACGGGAGGCAGCAGUGGGGAAUAUUGGACAAUGGGCGCAAGCCUGAUCCAGCCAUACCGCGUGGGUGAAGAAGGCCUUCGGGUUGUAAAGCCCUUUUGUUGGGAAAGAAAAGCAGCAGGUUAAUACCCCGCUGUUCUGACGGUACCCAAAGAAUAAGCACCGGCUAACUUCGUG
rnacentral:rRNA from 1 species